UACGUAGGGUGCAAGCGUUAAUCGGAAUUACUGGGCGUAAAGCGUGCGCAGGCGGUUAUGUAAGACAGGUGUGAAAUCCCCGGGCUUAACCUGGGAACUGCAUUUGUGACUGCAUAGCUAGAGUACGGUAGAGGGGGAUGGAAUUCCGCGUGUAGCAGUGAAAUGCGUAGAUAUGCGGAGGAACACCGAUGGCGAAGGCAAUCCCCUGGACCUGUACUGACGCUCAUGCACGAAAGCGUGGGGAGCAAACGG
rnacentral:rRNA from 1 species